CAGCCGCCGCGGUAAUACAGAGGGUGCGAGCGUUAAUCGGAUUUACUGGGCGUAAAGCGUGCGUAGGCGGCUUCUUAAGUCGGAUGUGAAAUCCCUGAGCUUAACUUAGGAAUUGCAUUCGAUACUGGGAAGCUAGAGUAUGGGAGAGGAUGGUAGAAUUCCAGGUGUAGCGGUGAAAUGCGUAGAGAUCUGGAGGAAUACCGAUGGCGAAGGCAGCCAUCUGGCCUAAUACUGACGCUGAGGUACGAAAGCAUGGGGAGCAAACAGGAUUAGAUACCCGUAGUCCCUGUCUCUUAUAACA
rnacentral:rRNA from 1 species